CUAUUUUGAACACGGCGGAAUCGUGUUAUUCGCGAGAUUCGCAAUACAUGAACGCGUUGAUCUAUUGACUCGUGUUCAAAGUUUAAAUAUUAUGUUGUUGUAAUUUCAUCGAUAUAAUUGACUGUUGAUAUUAUUACAACAAAUUAUACUGUCUCUAACGGUUACGGCAUACUAUAGGUGUAUAUAUAGUUUUCAUUAUAGGUUAUCAAAGGUUUAUCUACCGUUGUCGCCACUUAGCACUUUACGGGGCUCU